GUGAGAAAGAGAGAGUGUGUGCGCAAUGGCAUGAAGCAUUAACAGCAGCAGCACCAUCCUGACCAAAGCGCUUCUCUCUCACACACACACACACUGAGCCAGUCUGAAGUUUGGCAUCAGCGCGAGCGAGUGACGUGCUGCUGAGAGAGAGAGAGAGAGAGAGCGCACUCCAGGUGAAGCGCCUGUUUUACGCGCGGACGCGCCGCGGCUGUCGGCCAUGGGAGCGGAUUUAUGAGGAGCUUUAUCUCCGGACCUUUGAUGGGAGUUGCUGUGUGUGGUUUUGCUCCUGUGCUGAAGUGAGCCAUGUUUCCUCCCUGUGCCCUCUGCUGCCUGCUGCUCCUGAUCGGCUGGGCGCCUCUCCGAGGGACCAACUCACAGCAAGUGUGCACGGGCACCGAAAACAAACUGAGUACCCUAUCGGAUCUAGAGCAGCAAUACCGGACCCUGCGCAAGUACUAUGAGAACUGUGAGGUGGUGAUGGGCAACCUGGAGAUCACCAGCAUCGACCGUAGCCGGGAUUUGUCAUUUCUCAGGUCCAUCCGUGAGGUGACAGGUUACGUGCUGGUGGCUCUGAAUCAGUUUGACUAUCUCCCCCUUGAGAACCUGCGCAUCAUCCGUGGUACGCGGCUCUACGAAGAUCGCUACGCCCUCGCCAUCUUCCUCAACUACCGCAGAGACGGCCAUUUUGGACUGCGCCAGCUGGGCCUCAAGAACCUCACAGAAAUACUGCAUGGAGGUGUGUAUGUGGACCAGAAUAAGUUGCUUUGCCAUGCCGACACCAUCCAUUGGCAGGAUAUCGUGAAGAACGCUCGUCCUGAUUACCUGGUGGUGCCAUCCAACAGCAGCAACACUUGUCAGAAGUGCCAUCGCGCCUGCAACGGCCGCUGCUGGGGUCCGAAAGAGAGCCAGUGUCAGAGCUUGACGAAGACGGUGUGCGCUGAACAGUGUGAUGGUCGUUGUUUUGGUCCAUACGUCAGUGACUGCUGUCAUAAGGAGUGUGCAGGAGGCUGCUCGGGUCCCAAAGACACCGACUGCUUUGCGUGCACUAACUUCAAUGACAGCGGGGCGUGUGUGACGCAGUGUCCUCAACCCUUCGUUUACAACCCUACCACCUUCCAACUGGAACACAACCCUCAUGCCAAGUACACCUACGGAGCCUUCUGCGUCAAGAAGUGCCCACAUAACUUUGUGGUGGACCACAGCUCAUGUGUCCGGGCAUGUCCCAGCAACAAGAUGGAGGUGGAAGAGAACAAGAUAAAAAUGUGCAUUCCCUGCACUGACAUCUGCCCCAAAGCAUGUGAUGGAAUCGGGACGGCGAGUCUGCAGACGGCUCAGACUGUUGACUCCAGCAACAUCGACAGGUUUAUCAACUGCACUAAGAUCAAUGGCAACCUGGUGUUCCUCAUCACAGGAAUCAAAGGUGAUGUAUACCACAACAUUGAGGCUUUGGAUCCAGAGAAACUCAACGUGUUCCGCACUGUUAGAGAAAUCACUGGUUUCCUGAAUAUUCAGUCAUGGCCAGAAAACAUGACAGACCUAAGUGUCUUCUCGAAUUUGGCAACCAUCGGUGGCCGAUCGCUCUAUAGCGGAAUCUCUCUGUUGGUACUCAAGCAGCAGUGGAUCUCUUCGCUGCAGCUGCAGUCUCUGCAUGAGAUCAGCGCCGGCAAUGUCUAUAUCACCAACAACAGCCAGCUGUGCUACUACAACACCAUCAACUGGACCAGCCUCUUCCGCAUCCCCACACAGAAAGCCCUGAUCCGCAACAACAGGGACCCCAAAGAGUGCAUUAUGGACGACAUGGUGUGCGACCCGUUGUGUUCGGAUGCUGGGUGUUGGGGUCCGGGUCCGGAUCAGUGUCUGUUCUGCCGCUUCUUCAGCAGGGGGCGCAUGUGUGUCAAGUCCUGCAACCUGCACCAUGGGGAAGUGCGAGAGUUUGCGAAUGGCUCCAUGUGUGUGGAGUGUGACGCUCAGUGUGAGAGAGCUGAAGAUGAUGGUCUGACCUGCACUGGGCCGGGUCCUGAUCAUUGUGUGAAGUGUCUUCACUUUAAAGAUGGGCCAAACUGUGUGGAAAAAUGUCCCGAUGGUCUCCAGGGAGCCAAUAGUUUCAUCUUUAAAUAUGCAGAACCCAACAAGGAAUGUCACCCCUGCCACACUAACUGCACCCAGGGAUGCACUGGGCCCAGGCUUCAGGACUGCAUCGGCAUGAUAGACAGGACUCCUCUGAUCGCAGCAGGGGUCAUCGGCGGCUUGUUCGUGGUGGUGAUUGUGGCACUGGGCGUGGCCGUGUCGGUGAGAAGGAAAAGCAUCAAAAAGAAAAGAGCACUCAGGCGCUUCCUGGAGACGGAGCUGGUGGAGCCUCUGACCCCGAGUGGUGCAGCACCCAAUCAGGCCCAGCUCAGGAUACUGAAGGAGACGGAACUGAAGAGGGUGAAGGUUCUUGGUGCAGGAGCCUUUGGCACCGUUUACAAGGGGAUCUGGGUACCUGAGGGUGAGACGGUGAAGAUCCCGGUGGCAAUUAAGAUCCUGAACGAAGCGACGGGACCCAAAGCCAAUGUGGAGUUCAUGGAUGAGGCACUGAUCAUGGCCAGCAUGGAGCAUCCUCACCUGGUGCGUCUUCUCGGGGUGUGUUUGAGUCCCACCAUCCAGUUGGUGACCCAGUUAAUGCCCCACGGCUGCCUGCUGGACUACGUACACGAGCACAAGGACAACAUCGGCUCCCAGCUGCUGCUCAACUGGUGUGUGCAGAUCGCCAAGGGCAUGAUGUAUCUGGAAGAGCGGAGGCUGGUGCACCGAGACCUGGCAGCCAGGAACGUUCUGGUCAAAUCCCCUAACCACAUCAAGAUCACAGACUUCGGAUUGGCGAGGCUUCUGGAUGCUGAUGAAAAGGAAUACAAUGCAGAUGGGGGGAAGAUGCCUAUUAAAUGGAUGGCCUUGGAGUGUAUCCACUACAGGAAGUUCACCCACCAGAGUGAUGUCUGGAGUUAUGGAGUGACUAUUUGGGAGCUGAUGACGUUCGGAGGCAAGCCCUAUGAUGGAAUUCCCACACGUGAGAUUCCUGACUUGCUUGAGAAAGGAGAACGACUCCCUCAGCCGCCCAUCUGCACCAUCGACGUCUACAUGGUCAUGGUGAAAUGCUGGAUGAUUGACGCGGACAGCAGGCCGAAGUUUAAGGAGCUGGCAGCGGAAUUCUGCCGAAUGGCCCGAGAUCCCCAGCGCUACCUCGUCAUUCAGGGUGAUGACCGGAUGAAGCUGCCCAGCCCCAAUGACAGUAAGUUUUUCCAGAGUCUACUGGAUGAGGAAGAGCUGGAGGAUCUGAUGGAUGCUGAUGAGUACCUGGUGCCUCACCCCUUCAACAUCCCUCCUCUUACCUAUACCACUCGCUCUCGCCUCGACUCAAACCGAAAUCAGUUUGCCUAUCAGGAUGGCAGUUUUGGUAUGGAGGCGAUGAUGGCCACUAUACCACGGGUGGUAGCGGUGUCUUCUGUAUCACCAUCCUGCUCCUCUCAAGAGCCUCAGCAGGGUGCAACAGGAGUCACAGAAGACCCACGUUGUAAUGGCACCCUGAGAAAACAAGCAUCUCCCCGGGUCAGGACAGGAGAGGAAAGCAGUGCUCAGCGCUACAGCACAGAGCCCACGCUGUUACUGAGUGAACGAGCAGCCAGAGCAGAAAAAGACCAGGAUGGAUACAUGACUACUAAAAAGGAGAAGAAACCCACAGAUUACCUCAACCCUGUGGAGGAGAACCCAUUUGUGACCCGCCGCAGAAAUGGAGACGUCCAUAAUCUCGACCAGGUCCACCAUUCCAGCUCCAAUGGCCAACCCAAGAUGGAGGAUGAAUAUGUCAAUGAUCCACUCUAUCUCAACACCUUCCAUAACACUGGAGAGAAGAAUCAGGAGGUCCUGCGUAAGAAUGGCAUCCCUGUGGCUCAUGCAGUGGUGGUAUCAGGCAACCCUGGUACUGCCAGUGGCUUAAAUAUUACCCAAAAAAGUCACCCAACACACAGUGCUCCCUCAGGGCAUGGUCACAUCUCGGCACAGCCCAUUUACUCUACUCAGUCCGGUAUACCCACCCUCUCGGGCCACACGCUUCAUCCUUCACUAUCGGGCCUCACCCUUCAUGCAUCACAUACCCUACACCCAGCUCACUCUGGCACUGUUGUAGCAGACAAAAAGCCCAAAAAGACCUUUGACAACCCUGAAUACUGGCAGCACAGUCUUCCACCCAAGACAACACUACAUGGACCAGAGGUCUUGCAGGACUGCAGUACGCGCUUCUUCUACAGGCAGAACGGCCGCAUCCGGCCUGCUGUAGCUGAAAACCAGGAGUACCUAACAGAGUAUGCCCUGAAAACAGGCAACGUGCUCCCACCGCCACCCUACCGGCAGAGGAACACAGUGGUGUAGCACCAAGGAGGCAAAAGAAAGAAAGCGAAUGGAAGGACAGGGAGAAUAGCAUGAAGGAGGCGUUCAUGUUUUCUUCUCACCCUGGAUCUUACACCAGUACCAGUUCUCCUCCCUUCCCCUCCUCUCAACGACUCGUGACUGUAUUUCAUGCUUAUUUAGCAUCCAGAUGGUGUUUCUCUAAACAAGACAGAUGAAAGACAACCAUGUCAGUCAACCCUGCUCCUUGCUCUACCCUUCCACAUCCCAUCAUCACAAAUACUUGCCAUGACGAUGUCAUUGGCAUGUGGACUCCGUAUUCCCUUGACAAGAGAGAUACCUUUCCUCAGCAAUGCCAGAUCCUCUAUUUGUAUCAUACUAGAAUUGGUUUGGAGACAUUAUCCAGGACUGGUAAGCAAGUAAACAUUUACAUAAAGGUCUUUGACUACAAGACUACUGCCACACUGUGGACAUUUUUCAACAAGUCAAGACAAUACAGCACCAAGCGCCAAAUCUGUCAAUCCAGGCCCUUUUUCUGCAUUGCUUUCACCCUAGUAAUGAUUCUCCUAAUUUGGUAGAUAUCACAAUGGUAUUCCUGAUACUAAGAUAUAUAUAUAUAUAUAUAAAAUAUCUUUUGCUCCAGUUCCAUUUUCAUCACUCACCAUAUAUGACACACUUAAAAAGUCCUCAGAGAGGUGUUUGGGACAACAUUGUCACCUUUCACCUUCAUUUACCAAGAAAUAGAAUUGCAUCCCCCUCCAGGUCCAGUGACCUCAUCUUGGGACCACAAAGUGCCAGUACAAAUCCCAUAUGUCCAGAUGUCUCAGAAAACACACAUGGAUAUACAAAAAGCUACUGCAAAGUCUACUGUUCAUGAAAGAAGAUUCGUUCAAUAGUCCGCUGCAUUUUUUUUUGUUUUUUGCUGUUGUUGUUCUUGACCAUCCAGCCAGCAUCGAUUAUUUUUUCCACCAUCACACAGCAACAGUUGUAAUAAUGGACUGCACACAGAGAGGUAAUAAAAAUGACUAUAUAGACUGCACAAACUGGAUCCAUCUUAAAUGCCUGAUAAUAAUGACCAGAAUGGGCAAUACAGACCUUUGACCAAUAUACUGACCUUUUGUUGCUGGCUUGAACACUACAGUCUGAAAUACAAGGAGUGAUGUGAAUCAAACGAGGAUCUGCAAGCGACACACUGGGUCUCGGUGUCGAAAGGAAAUGCUUGAGCUGACACAAUUAAUCCUGAAGCAGAGGAGCAUGAGGAGGUAAAUGUGGCAGAAAAAGAUAAUUGCACCAACAAUGAAACUAAUAUUCAACAUCUGGGGCAGAGACUGAUGUUCUUACUGGACUGUCCUCAGCUUGAAACAUGAAAACUAAAGUUGUACUUCAUGCAACUUUCUAGAGCCUUGCUGUGGAGGGAGUCUGCAGCUCUCUUGCAAUACUGGUUAUUUCCCUUUGGUGUGACAUUUUUCCUCUCAUGCCUAAGUACAAGGCAUGUAGUUUGUACUUAAUUAAUACAGUAUAGCGUUCUUUCAGUCAAGGCCAAACUUUUCAGUGCAGAUUGACUGAGUGAAAAACAGGAUAUGGAAUCAUCCAUAUGGUCACUGUGACUUGGAGAAGUUUGACCUACAUGACUUUAACACUCGCAUCCUGGACCACUUCUCCAUUUGAGACGCGGCUCCCGAUGCGGCUCCCGUUAAUUGCCCUCCUAAUGGUGUUUCUCCGUGAGAUUAAUGUGUCGUUAUGUAUUAUCCACUUUGACAAAUUGAAUAAUUGAUCGGACGGCUCAUUUCGCCGCCCCGAGCUUUGACUGAUGGCUUGUCGGAGCAAAUUCUCGUCUUUUUUUUUCUUUCUUUCUUUCUUUUUGAGACGAGAGGCACCACAGAGAGCACUGCAGGAGGAGGUUGGGUUCCUGCUGACUCGAUGCUCUUCCCAGCUCCCUCUUUCCUCCCCCCCAAAAAAGUUUUGUUACAUGAAUCUGUCAAAAGUAUAUUUUUAAUUUAAUAUAAAUAAAUAAAUGCCAAUA